rnacentral:rRNA from 1 species
AGAGUUUGAUCCUGGCUCAGGAUGAACGCUAGCGGGAGGCCUAACACAUGCAAGCCGAGCGGUAUUUGUUCUUCGGAACAGAGAGAGCGGCGUACGGGUGCGGAACACGUGUGCAACCUGCCUUUAUCUGGGAGAUAGCCUUUCGAAAGGAAGAUUAAUAUCCCAUAAUAUAUUAAGUGGCAUCACUUGAUAUUGAAAGCUCCGGCGGAUAGAGAUGGGCACGCGCAAGAUUAGAUAGUUGGUGAGGUAACGGCUCACCAAGUCAGUGAUCUUUAGGGGGCCUGAGAGGGUGAUCCCCCACACUGGUACUGAGACACGGACCAGACUCCUACGGGAGGCAGCAGUGAGGAAUAUUGGACAAUGGGUGAAAGCCUGAUCCAGCCAUCCCGCGUGAAGGACGACGGCCCUAUGGGUUGUAAACUUCUUUUGUAUAGGGAUAAACCUUUCCACGCGUGGAAAGCUGAAGGUACUAUACGAAUAAGCACCGGCUAACUCCGUGCCAGCAGCCGCGGUAAUACGGAGGGUGCAAGCGUUAUCCGGAUUUAUUGGGUUUAAAGGGUCCGUAGGCGGAUCUGUAAGUCAGUGGUGAAAUCUCACAGCUUAACUGUGAAACUGCCAUUGAUACUGCAGGUCUUGAGUAAGGUAGAAGUGGCUGGAAUAAGUAGUGUAGCGGUGAAAUGCAUAGAUAUUACUUAGAACACCAAUUGCGAAGGCAGGUCACUAUGUCUUAACUGACGCUGAUGGACGAAAGUGUGGGGAGCGAACAGGAUUAGAUACCCUGGUAGUCCACGCCGUAAACGAUGCUAACUCGUUUUUGGGUUUUCGGAUUCAGAGACUAAGCGAAAGUGAUAAGU